CGCCAUUUUGUUGGAAAACCACAUUGGAGAGGGCUGCACGUUAUAUCCACCUCCAUCCUCUUUGCUUACACCCUUGAGAAGGCAUAAUCUUUUCACACCACUUCCAUCAAGUCAUCUCCUGUCUUGACCACUUAUUUUUGGGAGAGUGUUUAACACGCUGCAUAGAUGUACAUAAACAUGUGGACCCCGUUAAUGGAGCAGCCCACCAUUCAUCCAGGAGAGAACCAUGUCCACAGAAAUGGAGGUGCUGCCUGAGCCUGACGAGACCCAGUGCUGUUUUAGAAACAACUAACAAGAUUAAGAGGCACUUCCUUGGAAUCAAGAGUUGAACAAAUUAAGGCCACCCAGGGGAAGGUGGUGUCAAAGAGGAUGGGAGGCUGGUCCAUAAGCUAGUGUGAAUCCCCAUGUGGCGACCCUCAUCAAAAACUUCUUGGACUUUGAGUGGAGAUUCAUGUAGCCGACAACCCAUCGCCCCACAAGAUGUUCAUGUUCUUCAGUUAAGUUCUGUUCAGUUAAAUUGUGCAGUUCCAGGUUAGUUGUUGAUUUGUUGUUCCAUUAAAUGCAAUGUGUUAUCUGAAUGUGUUUUUUUUUAACACAUAUAAGCCUGUGUAAUGUUUUUAUGGAUUUUCCCCAAAUGUCAU